UUUAUAUAUUUUUGUUUCCAGGUCAAACAAUGCAAUACUGUGUUUCACUGCAUAACAGUUGCACAACCCCACUUUUGGGGUGGAAGGGGAUACGACUAUUAUACAGUGAAUUUUGUUUUGCAGCUAUGGGGCUGCACCUGUGUGAGAGGAUUGCAAGGCAUCCUUUGGCUGGUGCAGCAGAGGGAAGCCCUAUAGCUCUCACAAUUUCAUCGGUCCGUCCACCUGCCCCUUGGAGCUACAGGGGCUUUCCUCGGCUGGAAGCCCCAUAACUCCAAGGAGUAGGCACAUGGUCAGGGUGUGUGUGACUAUUAUGUGAAGAAUGAAAUACCAAAACUAGGACCUCAAAGGGGGUGUGUGGCUAUUAUGUGAUGACAAUUAUUAUGUGAUGAAAUAUGAUACUUUCAUAGAAAUCAUAGAGUUGGAAGAGACCUCAAAGGCCAUCCAGUCUAGCCCUCUGCCAUGCAGGAACACACAAUCAAAGCAUUUCCACACCUUUUUUGUUAUAUUUUAAUGUUUUACUCAAAAGCAUUCUUAGGCUGAUUUUUCACACUGCACCAUUGUGCUAAAUUUUAAUAAAUAGUUGAAGCAAAUACAGAAAUAAAAAUAAGAGUGGGGAAAAAGAAAGAUGGGUGUUAAUUAAAAAAUUAACACAACUGUAAAAAACAGCACAUUUGGUAGGUUUUUUCUCCUGAUGUAGAAAUGAAAUACCUUUGCCUAUCAUAUACUUUUAAUGCAUACAAGCUUUUUGAAAUAACUGGAAGUAGCUUCACUUGAAGUUAGGAUACAGGUUGCCAUAUUUGUCCCAUCAGCUUGCUAUACAUCAGCAAGUAUUAAAAAGCAGAACCUAAUUCACAGAUCAAAUAUGUUUUUCAUGAUCUCAUAGAUUUACUACUUAGUUUAUGUUUCCUGCUACAAACAUUCAAGUUCCAAAGGUGCUGCUUGUCUCUAAAGGUAUUAUUUGUAGCAUCUAGAAAUAUCAGGAUUAUUUGUGGCUGUUAAAUCAAAAAUGAAGCAUCCUUCUUAUACUUCAUUUCUUCUCAGGUCUCUAUACCUUUUGUUGGUUCAGAAAGGAAAGUAGUGGGUUGUGGGAGCAUGUUUAAUGUAUUUCAUACUUUGAUCUCAAGAUGCUGAUUUUUUUUUUUUAAAAAAAGAAUGUGCUUUCUAAAAUUAAUGCCCAAAGCUCCAGCAUUUGUGGAAAUGAUAGUGUUCUGCAGCAUUGGCCCUGACUUCCUGUUGUGUGUGUGUGUGUGUGUAUGUAUAUGUAUAUUUCUAAAACUAAGCAGCUAUCUGACUAGCCACAAAGACAUAUUACAAAACUAAAACAAAUGCAAAGACACCAACCUAACACAUACUUACAUCAACAUAUCCAUACUAAAUACACAACUGCAGAGACAAUUGUACAAACCUCACACUCAAUGCCUGUUGAUUUUUACCCCAUACUAUUAUUGUUAUGAUUGAGCCUCAUGGCUCUGCUACUGGCAGACGUGGGUGUAAGACUCCUCGAGAGUCAGAUACUCUCGAGGAGCGAGAAAGAAAGAGGCUGCGAGAUAUCUUUGCAGAACCAUCUGACGAAGAGUCUUUUGAGGGGUUUACGGAGAGAAUGGAGGAAGAGCUGGUUAGCUCGGAAGAGGAUGAGAUGGAUUGGACUCGGGUAAGGGAGGAAUUGGGUGCCACUGGCAAUGAUGGGAUGGAAGAUGAUUGGGGACCUUCAGGACUAGACCCAUGGACAAGCUGGAGGGAUGGGACAGGAUCCACAGCUGGGGAUGCUGUGGGGCGUAGUCAGAGGUGUUCCAGUUCUGAUGAGGAAAGUGAUGAGGAAACGCCCGGGUUAAGGAGAACAGCUGAUAGUGAUGAGGACUUGUAACUGGCAUAAAAUGGGGUUUGGGAGCAAUAGCAAAUUGCGUUGGGCAAGGUAAUCUGGAGAAACGCUUGGGAUCUGUGUGGGACGUUUUCCUGAAGACGGGUGUGUUUCGUGUGCUGAUUACCUUUGACCUUCCGUCGUCUUCUUGACGGACGCCAUCUGCUGCUCUGGAUUUACGGACUGAACUGACUACGGGCUCGGAUUCUCCUACCUGGACUUGGUGAACUACAAACGUCUGCUUCUGCCUAUCGACCUUCGGAAAGAACUGGGACUACGCUACUGCUUCAAUCCUCGGCUGUUGUGUUUGUAUUGGGAAUUUGCCUGCUGUGUGGAGGAGUGACUUCUAAGUUACUCAAAACAUAGUGCUGGCAGCAGAGAGGCAUCUGCUGCCAAUUAGUUACAUUCUUUUGAACUCUUUGUUCCCCAGCUUCUGUUUUGUUUAUUCCCAGGCUGAAGCAAGCUGUUUUGAUUUUACCCGGAUUAAACUCCGGUUUAAUCCGGUUUAUCUUUUGAACGUUUUUUUCUUGCCCCUUUUUGCUUUUUAAGGCUAAUGUUGCCUAGCCCUUGUCUUUUACGGGCAUUUUGAGUUCUGUAAAUCCAAUAAACUCUGUUAUCUUUGA